rnacentral:rRNA from 1 species
UACGUAGGGUGCAAGCGUUGUCCGGAAUUAUUGGGCGUAAAGAGCUCGUAGGCGGUCUGUCGCGUCGGAUGUGAAAACCCAGGGCUCAACCCUGGGCCUGCAUUCGAUACGGGCAGACUAGAGUUCGGUAGGGGAGACUGGAAUUCCUGGUGUAGCGGUGAAAUGCGCAGAUAUCAGGAGGAACACCGGUGGCGAAGGCGGGUCUCUGGGCCGAAACUGACGCUGAGGAGCGAAAGCGUGGGGAGUGAACAGG